UACGGAGGGUGCAAGCGUUAUCCGGAUUUACUGGGUUUAAAGGGUGCGUAGGUGGGUUGGUAAGUCAGUGGUGAAAUACUUUCGCUUAACGAAGGAACUGCCAUUGAUACUACCAGUCUUGAAUACAGUGGAGGUAGGCGGAAUGCGUCAUGUAGCGGUGAAAUGCUUAGAUAUGACGCAGAACACCAAUUGCGAAGGCAGCUGGCUACAGGGAUAUUGACACUGAGGCACGAAAGCGUGGGGAUCAAACAGG
rnacentral:rRNA from 1 species